rnacentral:rRNA from 1 species
UUCCGGUUGAUCCUGCCGGAGGCCAUUGCUAUCGGAGUCCGAUUUAGCCAUGCUAGUCGUGCGAGUUCAGACUCGCGGCACCGAGCUCAGUAACACGUGGCCAAACUACCCUACAGAGACGGAUACCCUCGGGAAACUGAGGUUAACCCGUCAUACCGAUCUCAGGCUUGAAUCGCAGAGAUCACAAAACGCCCCGGCGCUGUAGGAUGUGGCUGCGGUUGAUUAGGUAGACGGUGGGGUAACGGCCCACCGUGCCCAUAAUCAGUACAGGUUGUGAGAGCAAGAACCUGGAGACGGAAUCUGAGACAAGAUUCCGGGCCCUACGGGGCGCAGCAGGCGCGAAACCUUUACACUGCACGCACGUGCGAUAAGGGGACUCCGAGUGCGAGGGCAUAUCGUCCUCGCUUUCGUGUACCGUAGGGUGGUACACCAACAAGGGCUGGGCAAGACCGGUGCCAGCCGCCGCGGUAAUACCGGCAGCCCGAGUGAUGGCCGAUCUUAUUGGGCCUAAAGCGUCCGUAGCUGGCUGCGCAAGUCCGUCGGGAAAUCCACUCGCCCAACGAGUGGGCGUCCGACGGAAACUGCACAGCUUGGGACCGGAAGGCUCGAAGGGUACGUUCGGGGUAGGAGUGAAAUCCCAUAAUCCCGCACGGACCACCGAUGGCGAAAGCACUUCGAGAAAACGGAUCCGACAGUGAGGGACGAAAGCCAGGGUCUCCAACCGGAUUAGAUACCCGGGUAGUC